rnacentral:rRNA from 1 species
ACUCCGUACGGGAGGCAGCAGUGGGGAAUAUUGCACAAUGGGCGCAAGCCUGAUGCAGCAACGCCGCGUGAGCGAUGAAGGCCUUCGGGUCGUAAAGCUCUGUCCUCAAGGAAGAAUAAAUGACGGUACUUGAGGAGGAAGCCCCGGCUAACUACGUGCCAGCAGCCGCGGUAAUACGUAGGGGGCAAGCGUUAUCCGGAAUCACUGGGGCGUAAAGGGGUGCGUAGGCGGUUUUCAAGUCAGAAGUGAAAGGCUAUGGCUCAACCAUAGUAAGCUUUUGAAACUGUUAAACUUGAGUGCAGGAGAGGAAAGUGGAAUUCCUAGUGUAGAGGUGAAAUUCGUAGAUAUUAGGAGGAACACCAGUGGCGAAGGCGACUUUCUGGACUGUAACUGACGCUGAGGCACGAAAGCGU